rnacentral:rRNA from 1 species
UGCCAGCAGCCGCGGUAAUACGGAGAGGGCAAGCGUUGUUCGGAAUUAUUGGGCAUAAAGCGCACGUAGGCGGAUUGGUCAGUCGGUUGUGAAAGCCCGGGGCUCAACCCCGGAACGGCUUCCGAAACUGCCAGUCUGGAGGACGAGAGGGGAGAGUGGAACUUCUGGUGGAGCGGUGAAAUGCGUAGAUAUCAGAAGGAACACCGGUGGCGAAAGCGACUCUCUGGCUCGUUUCUGACGCUGAGGUGCGAAAGCUAGGGUAGCGAACGGGAUUAGAUA